rnacentral:rRNA from 1 species
AGUCGAGCGGACUUGACGGAGCUUGCUCUGUUCAAGUUAGCGGCGGACGGGUGAGUAACACGUGGGUAACCUGCCUGUAAGACUGGGAUAACUCCGGGAAACCGGGGCUAAUACCGGAUAUUCUUUUUCUUCGCAUGAAGAAGAAUGGAAAGGCGGCUUUUAGCUGUCACUUACAGAUGGACCCGCGGCGCAUUAGCUAGUUGGUGAGGUAACGGCUCACCAAGGCGACGAUGCGUAGCCGACCUGAGAGGGUGAUCGGCCACACUGGGACUGAGACACGGCCCAGACUCCUACGGGAGGCAGCAGUAGGGAAUCUUCCGCAAUGGACGAAAGUCUGACGGAGCAACGCCGCGUGAGUGAAGAAGGUUUUCGGAUCGUAAAGCUCUGUUGUCAGGGAAGAACAAGUACCAAAGUAACUGUUGGUACCUUGACGGUACCUGACCAGAAAGCCACGGCUAACUACGUGCCAGCAGCCGCGGUAAUACGUAGGUGGCAAGCGUUGUCCGGAAUUAUUGGGCGUAAAGCGCGCGCAGGCGGCUUCUUAAGUCUGAUGUGAAAGCCCACGGCUCAACCGUGGAGGGUCAUUGGAAACUGGGAGGCUUGAGUGCAGAAGAGGAGAGCGGAAUUCCACGUGUAGCGGUGAAAUGCGUAGAGAUGUGGAGGAACACCAGUGGCGAAGGCGGCUCUCUGGUCUGUAACUGACGCUGAGGCGCGAAAGCGUGGGGAGCGAACAGGAUUAGAUACCCUGGUAGUCCACGCCGUAAACGAUG